UACGGAGGGUGCGAGCGUUGUCCGGAAUCACUGGGCGUAAAGGGCGCGUAGGCGGCGCGGAUAGUCGGCGGUGAAAGCCCGGAGCUCAACUCCGGGUCGGCCGUCGAUACUUCCGGGCUUGAGCACUGUAGAGGCAGAUGGAAUUCCGGGUGUAGCGGUGGAAUGCGUAGAGAUCCGGAGGAACACCAAAGGCGAAGGCAGUGUCCUGGGGAGUACCUGACGCUCAGGUGCGAAAGCCAGGGGAGCGAACGGG
rnacentral:rRNA from 1 species